ACCCAAAAAAGGGUUCUACCUGGAACCCAAAAGGGUUUAACCUGCAACCAAAAAGGGUUCUUCAAAGUGUUCUCCUAUCGGGACAGCCAAAUAAACAUUUAUGGUUCUACAUAGCACUUUUUUUUCUAAGAGUGGAAUAUCAACUUAGCUGCGGAUCAACUUGGCCAUCCCUAUAGGGUGACCGCCAGGGUGAGCAGCUAAGGUUCUCUGUGUAAAGGAGACUCAAAUGUAAUAAGGGGUUGAGGGAGUGAGCACAAGGUUGAAAAAGACGAGGAUUCUGUCCGUCCUACAAGCAGGGUGUCAUCAUAUGACAGACUAGUGUUGUUCCCUACAGUGGAGGAGUGGCCUACAGACAGAGCUAGRGCCAGGCUAGAGGGAGGAGCAGGCAGGGGAGUCUAAGAGGGCCAGACCCCUCUGUGGGUCGCUACCCUAUAGAAUCUUGCAAGAGGAGGCACCAGACAGUUAGUGACUGUAUGACCUAAUGUAGCAGGUGUAAAGUAAAUGCCUGAGCGGGGUCCCCACAUCUGGUUUUCAGGGGUAAAGAAGCUGGGUUGAAGAUGCUGUAUCCAUGAAAACCGGAUGUUUCAGGUUUCUUAAAACCCUGCUGAAGGUGGUGACCGACUGCAGGACUUUGUGUUUGUGACCACACUGAAAUCGUGGAGGUUUUUUUUCUCUCCCUUUCUGUUAUGUUGGUUUUGUUUUGUAAUAAUUUCACUGUAAAUGACCAUAACUAUGUUAAUCAAAGCAAAACCAAACUGACACUUCAAUAAAGAAUCUUGAAGGAAAUUCAAA